rnacentral:rRNA from 1 species
GAUGAACGCUGGCGGCGUGCCUAACACAUGCAAGUCGAACGAAGCACUGCAGACGGAGAUUCGUCGAAGCCUGCUUUGACUUAGUGGCGGACGGGUGAGUAAUGCGUGAGCAACCUGCCUUUCAGAGGGGGACAACAGUUGGAAACGACUGCUAAUACCGCAUAAUGUACAUUGGGGGCAUCCCUGAUGUACCAAAGGAGCAAUCCGCUGAAAGAUGGGCUCACGUCUGAUUAGCUAGUUGGUGAGGUAACGGCUCACCAAGGCUGCGAUCAGUAGCCGGACUGAGAGGUUGAACGGCCACAUUGGGACU